CCUACGGGAGGCAGCAGUGGGGAAUAUUGGUCAAUGGACGAGAGUCUGAACCAGCCAAGUAGCGUGAAGGAUGACUGCCCUAUGGGUUGUAAACUUCUUUUAUAUGGGAAUAAAAUGUUCCACGUGUGGGAUUUUGUAUGUACCAUAUGAAUAAGGAUCGGCUAACUCCGUGCCAGCAGCCGCGGUAAUACGGAGGAUCCGAGCGUUAUCCGGAUUUAUUGGGUUUAAAGGGAGCGUAGGUGGAUUGUUAAGUCAGUUGUGAAAGUUUGCGGCUCAACCGUAAAAUUGCAGUUGAAACUGGAAGUCUUGAGUACAGUAGAGGUGGGCGGAAGUCGUGGUGUAGCGGUGAAAUGCUUAGAUAUCACGAAGAACUCCGAUUGCGAAGGCAGCUCACUGGACUGCAACUGACACUGAGGCUCGAAAGUGUGGGUAUCAAACAGGAUUAGAUACCCGAGUAGUC
rnacentral:rRNA from 1 species